rnacentral:snRNA from 1 species
AUUCUUUCGCAGAGGCAAUAUUGUAGCCUAUGAGGUUUAUCCGAGGCGCGAUCAUUGCUGGUUGAAAACUUUACCCAAUACCCCGCCAGGAUGACUUGAAAUACAGUCAGCCUUGGCAAUUUCUGAUUACACUGCAGUUUG